GUACCAAGCGAGUCAGACACGUG
rnacentral:miRNA from 1 species